rnacentral:rRNA from 1 species
UACAGAGACUGCAAGCGUUAUUCGGGUUCACUGGGCGUAAAGGGUGCGCAGGCGGUUGGGUGUGUCAGAUGUGAAAUCCCGAGGCUCAACCUCGGAACUGCGUCUGAAACUACUCGACUAGAGUACUGGAGAGGGAAACGGAAUUCACGGUGUAGCAGUGAAAUGCGUAGAUAUCGUGAGGAACACCAGAGGCGAAGGCGGUUUCCUGGACAGUUACUGACGCUCAGGCACGAAAGCAUGGGGGAGCAAACAGG